rnacentral:rRNA from 1 species
AACGAACGCUGCGGCAUGCCUAACACAUGCAAGUCGAACGAGACCUUCGGGUCUAGUGGCGCACGGGUGCGUAACGCGUGGGAAUCUGCCCUUUGCUUCGGAAUAACAGUUAGAAAUGACUGCUAAUACCGGAUGAUGUCUUCGGACCAAAGAUUUAUCGGCAAAGGAUGAGCCCGCGUAGGAUUAGGUAGUUGGUGGGGUAAAGGCCUACCAAGCCGACGAUCCUUAGCUGGUCUGAGAGGAUGAUCAGCCACACUGGGACUGAGACACGGCCCAGACUCCUACGGGAGGCAGCAGUGGGGAAUAUUGGACAAUGGGCGAAAGCCUGAUCCAGCAAUGCCGCGUGAGUGAUGAAGGCCUUCGGGUCGUAAAGCUCUUUUACCAGGGAUGAUAAUGACAGU